UGUAUGUGUGUGUGUUGCUGUCUGUCUCUCUCUGUCUGUGUAUGUGUGUGGGAGAGACGGACAGAGUGACGAUGAUCACAAUAACUUUAGAAAACGUGUGCAAAAUGCUUACAAUCUGACCCAUCACACCACUAUUCAAGAGGGCCACUAUGCUCCAGAUUGCCUUCUCUGCUCUGCAGUCCUCGAUGAAGAUCUACCCGAUUACACCACUCUUAUUAGGCAUGAAUAAAAAUCCCAAUGUGCAUUUAUAUACUCUGUCCCAGUCUUUCUAUGCAUGUAAUGUCUGUGGGUUAAUUAUGAAACAAUUACUGUGCAGAUGUGCAAAGAAUUGUGAUGUAGAUUGUUUUUUUCCAUUGCUUGAUCUAUUUUAAAUGUAAGAAUAUGCAGAUUGAAACUUUAAAUGGUGCCUAUGGAAAUGAAUAGAAAUGUAAUGAACAAGGUUUUCAAUAUCCAACUUUAUCCUUUGCAAUCCUUUUUACAGUAGGUAAUAAGCUGUAGUCAGGUGGUUAUUAUCAGGUUGUGAUGAGGUCUUAACUAUGACCUGUAGCCGACAUAAUAAACUCAG